rnacentral:rRNA from 1 species
CCUACGGGUGGCAGCAGUGGGGAAUAUUGCACAAUGGGGGAAACCCUGAUGCAGCGACGCCGCGUGAGUGAUGAAGUAUUUCGGUAUGUAAAGCUCUAUCAGCAGGGAAGAGAAUGACGGUACCUGACUAAGAAGCUCCGGCUAAAUACGUGCCAGCAGCCGCGGUAAUACGUAUGGAGCAAGCGUUAUCCGGAUUUACUGGGUGUAAAGGGAGCGCAGACGGCAGGGCAAGUCUGAUGUGAAAGUCCGGGGCUCAACCCCGGGACUGCAUUGGAAACUGUCCGGCUAGAGUGCAGGAGAGGUAAGUUGACUUCCUCGUGUAGCGGUGCACUGCGUAGCUCUUAGGAGGCACCCCAGUGGCGACGGCGGCUUACUGGACUGUACCUGACGUUGAGGCUCGACAGCGUGGGGAGCAAACAGGAUUAGAUACCCUAGUAGUC